rnacentral:rRNA from 1 species
GGGCCCGCACAAGCGGUGGAGUAUGUGGUUUAAUUCGAUGCAACGCGAAGAACCUUACCAGGGUUUGACAUCCUGCGAAUCUCUUGGAAACGAGAGAGUGCCUUCGGGAACGCAGUAGACAGGUGGUGCAUGGCUGUCGUCAGCUCGUGUCGUGAGAUGUUGGGUUAAGUCCCGCAACGAGCGCAACCCACGUCUUUAGUUGCCAGCAUUUAGUUGGGCACUCUAGAGAGACUGCCGGUGAUAAACCGGAGGAAGGUGUGGAUGACGUCAAGUCAUCAUGCCCCUUACAUCCUGGGCUACACACGUACUACAAUGGUCGGUACAAAGGGCAGCGAAGCCGCGAGGUGGAGCGAA